GAAGACAAAAUGUCCCAGUACAUCACUGACCUCCAAGUGUCUCUGGAUGAGACUGAGGAGAAUCAACUCCGUGCUCAAGGCUUCAUCAAGUCUGAUGUAGAUCUGAACAAAGGAGCUGGAGGAAAACACACCUACCUCUGGUACAAGACAGGUAGCUGUGGAGCCAUCACCAGGAUCCAGUUUUCCUUCACCGAUGCUAUGAGUGAGGGCCUGAGCAGGGCAGGGUACCACAAGAUCCCCAAAAACCUCAAUGCUGGAGCAGGAGGACACUGCAUCUAUCUGUGGUUCUUCAAGGGUUCUUCAGAGUACCAUGUUCCCAUCAUGAACCUGGACGUCUCUACUAAUGAUGAAGCCCAGAAGUUUAAGUUCGGCUGGGAGCGACUGGCUUGUGAUCUGAACCGGAAGGCUGGAGGACAUCAGAUCUUCCUGUGGGUGAAGAGAGAGAAUCCAACCUACAUCUGUGACCUUGCUGCCACCUCCGACUUCCAGGGAGACGAUGACUACUUCAACAACGGCUACAUCCGAGUGGACGAAGACACCAACAGAGGAGCAGGAGGGGCCUACGUCUUCAUCUGGUACCGUGAGACCACGAAGAGUGAGGGGGCCAUCAAAGACCUGCAGGUCUCCACCAAUGACGCUGAGUAUCAGGGCUUCCAGAACCAGGCGUACAAACCAGUGAACAUGGAUCUGAACAAGGGGACCGGAGGAAACCCAGUGUUCCUGUGGUACAAGAAAGACGACUGCAGCAGCAGCCCCAUCAAGGACGUCACUCUGGUGGUCACCAAAGAAGCUGUGCGUCCAUUUAAAGCUGUUGGUGUCGAGGCCAUCGACAAAAACCUCAACGCAGGAAACUGCUGUGCACCUGAGCUGUUCCUGUGUUACUACUACUGAUGUCACCAUGGCGACAGAGCUGAGCAUGCUCACUGAGCGGAAACAAAAGAAUCCAAAAUAUUUCUGUUGAAUCUCUUUAAGUUUUCUCCUGUGAUGAAACCAUGAAAUGUGUUAAAUCACUGUGAUCUCAGAAGUUUUAUUCCUCAAACAUGUAGAAUCAGUCAACCUGUGUGUUCUUCAUUGAUUCUGUUUCUCUUCAGUCUGACUUUCUCUGAUUCAAUAAAGUCUCAUCUGCAUCUCAAAUAUCUUCGUCUGCUCAUUCAAGCUGUUGAAUGAGAUCAGAUGAACCUCAUCAAACUGUAUCCAGCUUUAGUCUGUUCUGGGCCCAAAUAUCCCCCGAGGUAGAACCUAGUCUGGGCUGGUUGAUGCCUCCCGCUCCACUUCAUACCCCCUUGUGUUUUUCACACAUAAACCUGUAUUUAAAGGUACACAAUUUAAUAACAACAUGAGUUUAAAAACAACAACAAGCUACUGCAACAUGACAGACUAACAUCAAAUUAAAAAUAAAAUAGUUUUCAGAUUUCCCAACCUGGGCAACACUUUUUGUCACCAAUAAUACUUCUGAACUAUUUUGUCUAUUUAAUACCAGAAACCUUGCAGAGAAUGACCAUAUAAAUCUCCUACAGACUGAAAAUGAUGUCUUCACAUGUCUUUAGUCAAGAAUUGCAACGAUUAUUGGAUUAUUAUGAAAUCAAUA
ensembl:lncRNA